rnacentral:rRNA from 1 species
AAGUCGAACGGUAACAGGCCUUCGGGCGCUGACGAGUGGCGGACGGGUGAGUAACGCGUAGGAAUCUGCCUUAUAGUGGGGGACAACGUGGGGAAACCCACGCUAAUACCGCAUACGCCCUACGGGGGAAAGGAGGGGAUCUUCGGACCUUUCGCUAUGAGAUGAGCCUGCGUUAGAUUAGCUAGUUGGUAGGGUAAAGGCCUACCAAGGCGACGAUCUAUAGCUGGUCUGAGAGGACGAUCAGCCACACUGGGACUGAGACACGGCCCAGACUCCUACGGGAGGCAGCAGUGGGGAAUAUUGGACAAUGGGCGCAAGCCUGAUCCAGCAAUACCGCGUGUGUGAAGAAGGCCUUCGGGUUGUAAAGCACUUUCAAUUGGGAGGAAAACCUGCCGGUCAAUACCCGGUAGCUUGACAUUACCUUUAGAAGAAGCACCGGCUAACUCCGUGCCAGCAGCCGCGGUAAUACGGAGGGUGCGAGCGUUAAUCGGAAUUACUGGGCGUAAAGCGUGCGUAGGCGGUUCGUUAAGUCAGAUGUGAAAGCCCCGGGCUUAACCUGGGAACUGCAUUUGAAACUGGCGAACUAGAGUUGAGUAGAGGGGAGUGGAAUUUCAGGUGUAGCGGUGAAAUGCGUAGAUAUCUGAAGGAACACCAGUGGCGAAGGCGACUCCCUGGACUCAAACUGACGCUGAGGUACGAAAGCGUGGGUAGCAAACAGGAUUAGAUACCCUGGUAGUC